GACAGAGGGGGCAAGCGUUGCUCGGAAUCACUGGGCGUAAAGGGCGCGUAGGCGGGAUGGCAAGUCGGUCGUGAAAUCCUUCGGCUCAACCGAAGAACGUCGGCCGAUACUGCCGUUCUUGAGGGAUGCAGGGGAGAUUGGAAUUCCCGGUGUAGCGGUGAAAUGUGUAGAGAUCGGGAGGAACACCGGUGGCGAAGGCGGGUCUCUGGGCAUCUCCUGACGCUGAGGCGCGAAAGCGUGGGGAGCAAACGGG
rnacentral:rRNA from 1 species